UGUAUGAACCAAUGGUUGUUCGGAAUGCUGGUUUAGCGCGGAAUUCAGUCACCGCGUUCAGACGAUCGGUUCGCGGGAAAGAAAGACACAUCAACACAGCGUACUCCUACUAGAUAAGAGGAAUAACAAAUACACAUAAAUAUAUUUUGGAAUUAUCAGAUCGGUUCCAACUGAAACAUAGGGAUGCUUUUUCGUUCAAUAAUUGAAAAUCGUCUCGGCAGACAACGGCAGAAUGCAUUACCUACUCAAACCCGGACCAUGUAUCCCCUGAGCUCCCUCCUGGAAGGCUACCAGUGUGUUCGCAAUGAUGAACAUAUCUCCUAUGGCAGCCUUGUUGAUUCAGUCCCCCCAUUUGGACUAUCCUUCUCCUCUGCGAGGGAGAUUCAGGAUGUUCUGGCUGUGGCAAAUGAAGAAGGCAUUGUUAGGAUUUACAACACUGAGGGGCGAGGAGACCGACUUCUGAAAGAAUGGCUGGCUCACGAGAAUGCUGUCUUUGACAUAGCAUGGGUGCCUGGGGAGUCUCAAUUGGUGACUGCUGCAGGCGACCAGAUGGCCAGGUUGUGGGACGUGAAGUCAGGCGAACUGUUAGGUGGCUUCAGAGGCCACCUCUGCAGCCUCAAAUCUGUUGCAUUCACUUCAGAGGACAAAGCUGUAUUCUGUACUGGCGCAAGAGAUGGAAAUAUUUUGGUGUGGGAUACCAGAUGCAGCAAAAAAGAUGGUUUCUACAAACCAGUGAAACAAAUCCAGGGUGCUCAUAACAAAGCAGAGACAAACCCCCUAUCGAAAACAAAGAAAAGACGACUCAGUGUUCGUGGCAUGGCUCCCAGUGUGGACACCCAGCAGGGUGUCACUGUGGUGUUAUUUCAAGAUCAGCACACUCUCAUCUCCUCUGGGGCAGUUGAUGGGUUUGUGAAGAUGUGGGACCUGAGGAAAAACUACACCGCGCACCAUCACCAACCUGUAGCCCUGCAGACGUACCCGUAUCCCGGCUCUUCUAUGCGUAUGCGUCUCGGUUAUUCUGGUCUUGUCCUGGACUCCACGAGGUCUAAUGUCAUGUGCAACUGCACUGAUGACAACAUUUACAUGUUCAAUGUCAGUGGAAUCAAAACUACACCAGAGGCUGUGUUCAGUGGCCACCAAAACUCGUCUUUUUACAUCAAAUCCACAAUUAGUCCAAAUAACCAGUUCUUGGCCAGUGGCUCAAGUGAUAACCACACAUACAUAUGGAAGAUCUCUGAUCCUACGCAGCCUCCCAUGACUCUUCAAGGCCAUAGUGAGGAAGUGACAUCUGUUGCAUGGUGCCCAACAGACUUCACUAAGAUCGCUUCCUGCUCCGAUGACCACACUGUGCGCAUCUGGCGCCUACGUCGUGAAAUGGGCGGAGAACAGUCAUCAGUGGGAGAGGCCAAUCUUGUUGGCUGGGCACGUCCAAAAAGUCCACGCAAACUUUCGAAUCCCACUGAGACAACACUUGCUAAGGAGCAGAUGGUUGGGAGCAUUGGAGGCCUGGCCUCUCCGUGCCUCGCCUCCUGUGCUCCCAGUGGUGCCGCCUUACCGCUCUCCUCCAGCACCACCUCACCUGUCCAUUCUCGGCAAGCCAAAGCUGCUAAUUAUCAGAGAACUUCCAUUAAGUCCUGGCUCUCCCCCAGUCAAGGAUCUCCAAGCCAAACGAGCGCUCUACUGUGUAAAGUUCUGAGUCCGUGUCCUCAGAGCCCAACAAAUUGCACUUCUCCUUUGGUACCGCGAGCCAAACGCAGGCUGGAGACUGUCAACGGCUCAACUGAUGAAUGUGAGGGCACAAAGCUGAGCGAGUGUGUCUCCGAACUCUACCCUGUUGCCAAAAGGUGCAAGGGGCAGUCUGGCAUUGCCCGCCCAGCUCAAGGGGAUCACACAGACAAUCAUAUUGAGGAAGGCCGAGAGUUAUCAAUACAGUCUGGAAAAGAAAACUACUGCCCUGGGGUGAGAGACUGGCUGUCAGCAAUGGGCCAAAAGAUGAGAGGAAACUCUCGUAGCCCUCGAAGCCCCAGUGCUCCAAAGAAACAAGAGGGCAAGACGCCAGCAUCACCAACUUUGAACUCACCGCGAAACAUGAAAAAAAUCUCCUCCUAUUUCACGAGGAGAGGCACAGACUGACCCAUCAGCAUCCAUGAGUAGUGCCUCAACAUUUUUGACGCUGUGCAGUCACUGACUGACAGUGAUUGCUCCCUGGGAACGUCAAUCAAAAACCCGCCAUGCCAUGCAGUCUAACUGUCUCGGUCGUAACACAACCACACAGCGGUGGUGCUGCUGGGGUCGUUUAUGACUGCCGACUCGCUUCAGAGGUUUGGUUAUUUAGACACAUCGAAGAAAAUAUUUGUUUUACCGGAUGGUGCCGAAUUGUAAUCGUCGUUUUGGUAGGGGACAUAAUUAGCAUCGUGUGACACGCUGAGGCACGCGGCUAACUUUUAAGUGUUUAAGGCGUAGAGGAUAGAGGGAAUUUGAACUUCAUCGACCGCGAGUGAAAAUACUCCGCCUGCAACCAGCAUGCAAAAGCGGCCUGUGUACACGGAUUUUUCUUAAAUAUAUAAAUUUUGAUUGAUUUACUUCCUUAUAAAAAGGGCAUCACAGCUUUAUACGGCGCUACUACCCUUUUCGCCUCUGAUCGCGAUGGUGGAACAAUCCUUCAGUAUCUGUCUAAAGUCAGCUAUGCUAGAAAGCUAGUCGUGCUAGGUAGGUGUUAGCUACCAGCGCACAGUACAGUACUGUGGUUAGCCAGCUGCGUACAUUCACACAUCGACAACUUCAUCGCGGUAUCGCAAUUAGAUUUGCGAGAUACACGUCUAUAUUUUAUAAACAUUUAAGCAAAACAGUGUUGAAGUAACUCCUCGGCUGUUUUUUCUUCGUACAGGCGAGUGACUUGUUUGUUCCCAGAGGCUAUGUCGAGUUGUACUUUGGCUAUUUUGCUUUGCUUGUUGAAGAUCGUCCCCAUAAAACAGCAAGGCAUAGAUAAGAUGCAGCCUCCUCCGACAUGCAAUGUCGGAUCACGCUGAGUAACGUCGCAGGUUUUUGGCAGGUGGCGAGCGUCAAGUUGUGCAGGUUGCUCCCCAUUUAUUUGCGGAUGUGAACGCUCCAGGGGCGGAAACACAGUGAGGAGAAAACCUUGUUUUUGCAAAUCUGACGAGGAGCGCCACGGCGGAUCGUCCCCGGGCUGCGCAUCAAAAUGUCGGCCAUCUCUGCAGCCGAGAAAGUGGACGGAUUUA